rnacentral:rRNA from 1 species
AGAGUUUGAUCAUGGCUCAGAACGAACGCUGGCGGCAUGCCUAACACAUGCAAGUCGAACGCUCUUGGGACUUCGGUUUCAAGGGAGUGGCGCACGGGUGAGUAGCGCGUGGGAACCUGCCCUGUUGUGGGGGAUAACCGAGGGAAACUUCGGCUAAUACCGCAUGCGCCCCGGAGUGAUCCGGGGGAAAGAUUUAUCGCAGCAGGAGGGGCCCGCGUCGGAUUAGCUAGUUGGUGGGGUAACGGCCCACCAAGGCGAUGAUCCGUAGCUGGUCUGAGAGGAUGAUCAGCCACACUGGGACUGAGACACGGCCCAGACUCCUACGGGAGGCAGCAGUGGGGAAUAUUGGACAAUGGGCGCAAGCCUGAUCCAGCAAUGCCGCGUGAGUGAUGAAGGCCUUAGGGUUGUAAAGCUCUUUCGCCCGCGACGAUGAUGACGGUAGCGGGAGAAGAAGCCCCGGCUAACUUCGUGCCAGCAGCCGCGGUAAUACGAAGGGGGCGAGCGUUGUUCGGAUUUACUGGGCGUAAAGGGGCGCGUAGGCGGCGUAUCAAGUCAGGCGUGAAAGCCCCGGGCUCAACCUGGGAAUGGCGCUUGGGACUGGUAUGCUUGAGUUCGGGAGAGGAGAGUGGGAUUCCCAGUGUAGAGGUGAAAUUCGUAGAUAUUGGGAAAGAAACACCGGUGGCGAAGGCGGCUCUCUGGACCGAGACUGACGCUGAGGCGCGAAAAGCGUGGGGAGCAAACAGAUUAGAUACCCCCGUAGUCC